UUUCCUUUUUUCGGAGUCGGUUUCGAGCUUCGAGUCGGCUCUCGAGGAGCCCCCGCCCCCGUGACCCCCACCCUCCGAGGUGGCACCUGCGCAGGAGUCUUCGAUCUCCUUUUCCAGAGUUCCAGAAUGGAGACUGAAGGGUACCUAGAGGCACAAAGAAAUAGAGAAGUCCAGGAUGAUAAAAUGAGGUCAUCAUCAAAUGAGAUGAUGGCUGAGGUGCCAGAAGUUGUCCUAAUACCGGCUCCCCAGGUCCAGGCUCCACGAGAGCCUUCUGGGCUUCCACAAGAGAGCCUUGAUGAAGACUCUCUCGAAGACCUUGAGACCAUGCCACGAAGGAAUCCUCCCAACGCGGCAGCCUCCAGGCAGAGGUUCCGGAAAUUCCGCUAUGAAGAUGGAGCUGGGCCCAGGGAUGUCCUCAGACAUCUGCAGGAGCUUGCCGGACAGUGGCUGAGACCCGAUAUUCACACAAAGGAGCAGAUUGUGGAGAUGCUGGUACAGGAGCAGUUCCAGGCUGUCCUGCCCGAGGAGCUCAGAGCUCGGGCCCAGAGAUGUCAGCCUGGGGUUAGAAUCACUGGCUAAAUCCUGCCACAGGGUUCUUGCUCAGCCUACACGUGAGAAGUAACCAAACGUUCUCUUUGUUGCAGGAGCCAACAACAGUCAUGGAGAAAUGUGAACCUCGGGGGUUUUUUUGUUUUUUUUUUUUGUUUUUUCUUUUGGCUUGCCUUUGACUAGUUGUAAUAAGAACCCAUCAGAACCCAUGUUUGGACCUCUCUCUGGCGGAGGCAGCUCUAAUUCCUGGGACUGAGCUCUAGAAAGAGCUUCUGUUAGGACCCUCCUUUUAGGACAAUCAGCCUGUUGCUUGUUCUUGCUCUGCUGAAUGCCUCCUUUUUUGCACUUUCUGACAUGCUUUAAUAUAUUGUUAUGUAUCCAAAGAGGUAAUUGCUUCAACUUUCAGAAUUCUUGAUUCUUGCUGUGGCGGCAUGAAUGGAAGCUUCUGUAACCCCACCAGUAACUCAUCUUAGAUGUCCUUGAACUAUUAAAAGUUUAGUGCUUAA